rnacentral:lncRNA from 1 species
UAAUUUUCGCAUUGAGGACAAUGUCUUGUAUAAGUUUGGGGGAUGGUGGCAUAAUUUGAAAAAGACAUUCGACAUGUAAUUAAUUGCAUUUCCACAAUCCAGAUUUAAUUUGACUAAUUGUUGCAUGAUGCAUGCUUGUGAGUGAAUAUUGAUUAUGCUUAUGUAUGCUUGUGUGAGCUUAAUCGCCUUGCCGGCUAUGAUGUUACUAUUGGAUUGGUAUAUUUCAAAACUUUGGAGUCGGUGUUAAUUAGGCCAACUAAUACUUGUUGAUGUAAUACUUGACAUUCUUUAUGCACGUCAUUCAUGCUUUACAUGUUAGGUAAGUGA